GAAUUGUUAGGCGUCCCGUGGGGUGAUUGAAGCCAAACUCUUCCUCUGCUUGGUGCAACAAGCCUUGAAAUGAAGGAUGGUUCAGUUUGGAGGCUGAGGACCUGAUGCCUGAUAAUCUGGAGGGGGGUUCAUUACCAAGGAGCACAUGACUUAAUGUCAUGAAAUUCAGGGUAGAGAUGGUCCUGAAAUGAUGGGCAACAGAUAACAGAAUACUAAUAGAGAGCAGUUUAUAUGGGUAUGUACUGGUAGUCUGGUACUUUGAAAUCUUGUGAUGAUUUGAUUUAUUCUUUGUUGGAUUUAGUUUUGAUGGGUCCUAGAAAUUAUUCACCUUUCGGCAUGUGCCAAGAUAUUGCUGCAGCUGUUAUGGAAGAUAUGUGAUGCAUUUUUUAUUUAUUCCAGAAACAGGUACUAAUACUACUUUGCAUUGCACACUGUUUUCCACUCUGGGCAGCGUUUGAAUAGAAUAGAUCUAUCUCAGGGAUCAGUUUUUUAUUGAUUUCCCACUCUGGUCAUCUUCUGAUAUCUUUGUUAUGACAUGAUGCUAUUAUAAUUAUCUUGUUA